rnacentral:lncRNA from 1 species
AGCGAGGAGGAGAGGUCGCUGGCCAAGGGGGAAGCGGCGGCGGUGGUCGAUUGGCCGGGAAGCAGUGGCGGCGGUGGGAAGGAGGCAGUAAGGGUCGCUGUAGGGUGCGACCUACCGGAGAGUAGGGGCGGCAGUGGGGGAGAAGGGAAGUAGGGGACCCUCCUCGGUGGCCGCCGACAUAAUGCUUUUUUUUGUUUUUUGUUUUUUUUUUUAUGAUAGCUCUAGUGCAGCGAGAACGUCAAGGAUUGCCACUCUGAUACCAAAUGAUAGAACCCUAAGGUUUUAUUAUAAACGAAAUGGAAGAGAAAGGGAUGAUCACUUAGAGGGGAUCAGCCUCCUAGAGUUUGUCAAAAGACUGAAUAGUAUUUUUCAUAGAUAACUGAAAGGAAGCAGUUACAUCUCUAUUUAUAGAGUUCCAACUUUAGCUGAAAUAAACAAACUUAAUAAAUACACAAAAAAUAAAAGGAAAGCACAGAAAAUAAAAGAAAAAUAAAAGGAUCCUAACAACAUCUCGCUGCCCUUCCACAGCCAUCCAUUAGCCCUCCACGGCCACCCAAAGCAAUUCCCACAUUUGCUUGAAAGAUCGUCGCCAAAUUCCGCUAUCAUCUCCACCACCGCAAAUCAUCCUUUGAUCUCCCCGUGAAUUGCAAUAGGUUCUGAUUUCCU